rnacentral:rRNA from 1 species
AGCGAACGCUGGCGGCAGGCUUAACACAUGCAAGUCGAGCGGGCACUUUCGGGUGUCAGCGGCGGACGGGUGAGUAACGCGUGGGAACGUGCCCUCUGGUUCGGAAUAACUCAGGGAAACUUGAGCUAGUACCGGAUACGCCCUUUUGGGGAAAGGCUUGCUGCCGGAGGAUCGGCCCGCGUCUGAUUAGCUAGUUGGUGAGGUAACGGCUCACCAAGGCGACGAUCAGUAGCUGGUCUGAGAGGAUGAUCAGCCACACUGGGACUGAGACACGGCCCAGACUCCUACGGGAGGCAGCAGUGGGGAAUAUUGGACAAUGGGCGCAAGCCUGAUCCAGCCAUGCCGCGUGAGUGAUGAAGGCCUUAGGGUUGUAAAGCUCUUUUAUCCGGGACGAUAAUGACGGUACCGGAGGAAUAAGCCCCGGCUAACUUCGUG